AUAUGGGGCAAUCUGUAUUUAAAUAGGGAAAAAUUUAAAAGAAAUGAAUCCUAUAUAGUUUUCCCUUCAAGUCAAGUGUUUUGU
rnacentral:pre_miRNA from 1 species